CGGAGGGUGCGAGCGUUAAUCGGAAUUACUGGGCGUAAAGCGCAUGCAGGUGGUUCAUUAAGUCAGAUGUGAAAGCCCGGGGCUCAACCUCGGAACCGCAUUUGAAACUGGUGAACUAGAGUGCUGUAGAGGGGGGUAGAAUUUCAGGUGUAGCGGUGAAAUGCGUAGAGAUCUGAAGGAAUACCAGUGGCGAAGGCGGCCCCCUGGACAGACACUGACACUCAGAUGCGAAAGCGUGGGAGCAAACAGGAUU
rnacentral:rRNA from 1 species